CGCAUCUGUGCAUGCAGCAUAUCAAUAAGCGGAGGAAAAGAAACUAACAAGGAUUCCCUUAGUAACGGCGAGUGAAGCGGGAAGAGCUCAAAUUUGAAAUCUUCAAGGUUUUACCUUGACGAAUUGUAGUUUAAAGAAGUGUUUUCUGUUGAAGUUUUGGUAAAAGUUCUUUGGAAUAGGACAUCAUAGAGGGUGAGAAUCCCGUAUUUGACCAUUAUUUUCAGCUGUGUGAUACACUUUCAAAGAGUCGGAUUGUUUGGGAAUGCAGUCCAAAAUGGGUGGUAAAUUUCAUCUAAAGCUAAAUAUUGGCGAGAGACCGAUAGCGAACAAGUACCGUGAGGGAAAGAUGAAAAGAACUUUGAAAAGAGAGUUAAACAGUACGUGAAAUUGUCAAAAGGGAAGCGUUUGACACCAGUGUUGUUUUCUCGAAAAUCAAUUAAAAAGAGUUUGAUUUUGUUGUGUAUUGACCUUAACAGCUUGCAUUUCAAUUUUCUUGCUUUUUUCAAUGCACUUUUCGUUUAACAAGUCAACAUCAGUUUCUUUUGUUGUAAAAAGGUCAUUGGAAGGUGGCUUUCUUUUCGGAGAAAGUGUUUAUAGCCUUUGACUCCUGCAAUCGGGGAGACUGAGGUCUGCAGCGUAGAUCCUUCGGGGUUAGAUACAUUUGUGCUAAGUUAUAGCCUUUUAUAGACAACUUGUUGACUAUGAUUAGUCUUGUAGCUUACUCGCUUAUGCUAUUUUACCUACGCUUAGGAUGUUGAACUCUAUCACACACAG
rnacentral:rRNA from 1 species